rnacentral:rRNA from 1 species
AUUGAACGCUGGCGGCAUGCUUUACUCAUGCAAGUCGAACGGCAGCGCGGGCUUCGGCCUGGCGGCGAGUGGCGAACGGGUGAGUAAUACAUCGGAACGUGCCCAGUAGUGGGGGAUAGCUCGGCGAAAGCCGGAUUAAUACCGCAUACGACCUGAGGGUGAAAGCGGGGGAUCUUCGGACCUCGCGCUAUUUGAGCGGCCGAUGGCAGAUUAGCUAGUUGGUGGGGUAAAGGCCUACCAAGGCGACGAUCUGUAGCUGGUCUGAGAGGACGACCAGCCACACUGGGACUGGGACACGGCCCAGACUCCUACGGGAGGCAGCAGUGGGGAAUUUUGGACAAUGGGCGAAAGCCUGAUCCAGCAAUGCCGCGUGUGUGAUGAAGGCCUUCGGGUUGUAAAGCACUUUUGGCGGGAACGAAAAGGACUGUGCCAAUACCACGGUUCGAUGACGGUACCCGCAGAAUAAGCACCGGCUAACUACGUG